GACGAACGCUGGCGGCGUGCUUAACACAUGCAAGUCGAACGGAAAGGCCCUGCUUUUGUGGGGUGCUCGAGUGGCGAAAGGGUGAGUAACACGUGAGUAACCUGCCCUUGACUUAGGGAUAACUUCAGGAAACUGGGGCUAAUACCGGAUAGGAGCUCCUGCUGCAUGGGGGGGGUUGGAAAGUUUCGGCGGUUGGGGAUGGACUCGCGGCUUAUCAGCUUGUUGGUGGGGUAGUGGCUUACCAAGGCUUUGACGGGUAGCCGGCCUGAGAGGGUGACCGGCCACAUUGGGACUGAGAUACGGCCCAGACUCCUACGGGAGGCAGCAGUGGGGAAUAUUGCACAAUGGGCGGAAGCCUGAUGCAGCAACGCCGCGUGCGGGAUGACGGCCUUCGGGUUGUAAACCGCUUUCGCCUGUGACGAAGCGUGAGUGACGGUAAUGGGUAAAGAAGCACCGGCUAACUACGUG
rnacentral:rRNA from 1 species